CUAAUCCACCGACAAAAGUGCAAUUUUGUUACGAGUCAUUUUGAUUCAAAAGAUAAAAUAUUUUUGUGAAAUAGAUCUAAGCUCACAACAAUCAUACGAUGAUGAAGAAGUUAUGGGAGAAAUUACCUGCAACAUUAAAAAUAUCAGUGACAUCAUCUUAAAGAAUAAAAUGGCCUCUACCGAAGGUACUUUAAAAGGUCCUCAUUUUCGCAUUGAUGAUUCUCCUAUUGACACACCACUUGGGGUUGUUCAAGCUAAAGUGGCCUUUAUUAGUGGCGUUACAUCCCCUGAUUUUCCAAGUGUUCAGUUUCAAUCAUAAGGAGGAGGUUCGCAGUCAUGCAUGUUCGAAAAUCCACAUGAUACUACUUCCAACAGUCAUGAUCAAUACUUGGUAAAAAUAGUUAUCGGUACAUUAAAGCACUAUGUAAGUGUCUAUUGACUUUUAUUAUUUAAAAUCAAUAAUGUAAGAUUCAAACUUAGUACAUAUUUGUUUAUGUUUUAGGUUGAUAAAAAAUUCAUCCACCUAGAGACUUUAGUCCCUAAACAAUACACGAACAUUGAUGCCCAUGGGUUCAUGAAACUUUUGAAGCUUAGAACUAGAAAAUAUUCAAGUAUUAGGUGUGUUUUUUUAGAUACGAUGUGCUUUGUGUUCAUACUGUACGAAACUAGGUUUUGGAGCUCAAACAGAGAAAAAAAGUUGAAGUUGAGUAAGAAGCCCAACCUGCAAGCCUACCCACAUUGGGUGGGUACUACAAAAGUGGCAUGGGUUGCUUUGUGGUUCUAAAAAACUGGAGAAUCAGGGAACUUGAAAGUUGAAAUUUUCUUUAACACUCACGAUGGAGGAACUUACGGGGUGUGGAUGGCACUUGCGCCUUGUAAGUGCCAUCGUAAGUCACCUACUGAAGCUUAUCAAGAUCUCUAAGGUUUCUCUACUACUCACGACACUACCCACGUGGAAUGGGUGCCACUUACAAACAGUAAGCUGGAUCAUAAGUGGCCAUUGAUGCAAGUUUCCCUGUUCUUUUUGGUUUAGAUUCUAUGAAUUUUUAUGUAAUCUAUAAAUAUUCUUUUGAAGUUUUUGUAGUUAAUUUAUGAAAGUUUACGUACUUAUUAUAUUCAAAAUCCUAAAUUUGAUUCUAAGAUUGACUUUUGA